UGUACUAUUAUGUAAUCCAGAUGAGCCUUUUGGUGAGAGGUGUUCAGGGAGGACCAAGGUCAGUGGGCAAAAAUGGAGAAAAAAUGAGCCUGUGCCACACUGCGACAAUUUUCUUACGAAGAACGAAAUUUUGGCGUCGAAAACUGCAGCAGUCGAUAAGGGAAUACAUUGGCCAAUAAAGAAUGGAGGGGUUUAUUCCAGCUGUCCAAAAAUCUGAACAUGUAAAUCCAUCUAAAACACAAAGACUGGGCAGUGACUCCUACCUAACGCUUAGAAGGUGACUGGAUGCACCCUUCACCAAAGACAUCAGGUUUCUGUUCUUCAACGCCCGCUCCCAUGGCAAGACUGUCUCGCUUGUCGAAGUUUGUCUUCUUGUUAAUUUGCAAGGUUGACGUUUGUUAUGAAAUGUGAUAUUUGCUUUGGAUUGUAAUAUCUUGUAUCAAUACGUAUAUCAGCUGAAGAAAAGCACGUAAGGAGUGUUUUAUCCUUUGAUCUGAAAAAAAAAAUGGACUAAAUCCAAGCGUCAACCCUGUAUGUUGCUGGUUUAAUUCAAUAUAUGUUUCGUAGUCGUAGUAUACUAGUAGUACUCUAUCCACACACGAUGUUUUUUCUUUGUAAUUUGUUUAAAGAUUUCUUUGUUUCAUCAGUCUUCGUACCUGAAACGACACUUUUGAAGUACCACUUUAAUAGAAUUGAUUAAGGACUUGGUUAAGGGAUGUACCGGUAUGGAAAAGAAAUGAUUGAGUGAUUGUUAUAAAAUUAUUCUAAGUCAUACCCAAGCGGAGUACUGUGAUAGCUCUAUCAGCUUUCAGUUUGGUUGUAAAAUAAUAUGUGUGGAUAAAUAUAUAGCAAGAUGAACUGCUCUCGAAAAUGAUUGGUUGUUCAUCUUAAUUAGAAAGAUAAUAUUAAUUUUAUAAAGUUAACUUUUGGGAGGAAAAUUUGCCGCGACUCCUUUACGUUAAUUGCAUACAAAAAACUUUUUCGAGAAUCAGAUAUUGGUUGUUUAAUUAAGGAAGACUUCUAGAUGUAACUCUACAAUUAAUUGAAAACACUGUUCUAAAUUAAACCACUUCAGAAAUGACAAAUUUUAAAACUGCAAAAUAUGGUAGCGUUGUUGUAGAAUUGCCGUCACGUUUGGAAGGGUCUUUCUAAAAUUGUGAUUAUGCGGUGUGACGCAUGCUUAGAAUAUAUAAACUAUAACUUUGGAUCUUGGUGUUUUGAUACUUUGUGUCUGAUCAGUGACGGACCCAUAGUUUCAGUACUGGGAGGGGGUCAGUGUGUUUGUUUUACGGAAAAUCAAACCAGGGGUAGGAUAAUUUUUUUAGAAAUUAAUUUGCAUUUGUUAUUACAGUAGGAAAAUAUACAGAUAGAAAAAUUGUUUAUAAUGGGACUUCCAAAAUUUCCCAGCAUUUUUGGACAUGGCCAAGGGGUCAUGUUUAUUUACAUUUCCUGAAUGUUUUUUGAAAAGUUAUUUUGAGAUAACUGAUUUUGUGUAAACUUUUUGUUUUUGUUUGUAUAUUAUCCAUAAAGAUGACUUUGACUGGGAUAAGGCUGUAAACUGAUCAUGUCUUUAUGCUGUUUUUGAUUCGCACCUACCGCGAAAUUAAGUUUUCACUCAAAAUUGUGCCAUGCAUUGCAACUACAUCUUUUAGGAUUCGAUGUGAAAAAAACAAAAUUAUGCAACCAUAAAGUUUCAGAAAUAAAUACUUUUGAGUUAUUUUUUAGUUUUGUGUGCGAUGAUCAGCAUGAGGACAUACAUUGUAGAAUAAGGAAUACGUUCAUGAGUGCGUGCGCGCUUCCAAAGACACGAUUACAUGAGAUCCUAUGCAUUUUGAAUUUUCGAUAUCGUUAAUACCCCUGAAUUUGGAUAAAUGUUCCUUCAUGAAAUUUGCCAUCAAUAAAAAGACAAAUAAAACAGUGUCAUUUUUGAACAUUA